GACGAACGCUGGCGACGUGCUUAACACAUGCCAGUCGAACGGAAAGGCCUGCUUUCCCUUGUGGAUUGCGGGUACUCGAGUGGCGAACGGGUGAGUAACACGUGAGUGAUCUGCCCCCAACUUGGGUAUAAGCCUGGGAAACUGGGUCUAAUUCCCGAUAGGACUGCAGGGUGGUGCCUGUGGUGGAAAACGAUUUUCUAGUGGUUGGGGAUGAGCUCGCGGCCUAUCAGCUUGUUGGUGGGGUAAUGGCCUACCAAGGCGGCGACGGGUAGCCGGCCUGAGAGGGUGGACGGCCACAUUGGGACUGAGAUACGGCCCAGACUCCUACGGGAGGCAGCAGUGGGGAAUAUUACACAAUGGGCGGAAGCCUGAUGCAGCGACGCCGCGUGGGGGAUGACGGCCUUCGGGUUGUAAACUCCUUUCGACCGCGAGGAAGCCACCUGGUUGGAAGGGUGGUGACGGUAGUGGUAGAAGAAGCACCGGCUAACUACGUG
rnacentral:rRNA from 1 species